UACGUAGGAUGCAAGCGUUGUCCGGAUUUACUGGGUGUAAAGGGUGCGCAGGCGGGCUUGUAAGUCAGAGGUGAAAGCCCGGAGCUUAACUCCGGAAAUGCCUUUGAUACUGCGAGUCUUGAAUGUGAGAGAGGUUCAUGGAAUAUGUGGUGUAGCGGUGAAAUGCGUAGAUAUCACAUAGAACACCAGUGGCGAAGGCGGUGAACUGGCUCAUUAUUGACGCUCAGGCACGAAAGUGUGGGUAGCAAACAGG
rnacentral:rRNA from 1 species